rnacentral:rRNA from 1 species
UACGUAGGGUGCGAGCGUUAAUCGGAAUUACUGGGCGUAAAGCGUGCGCAGGCGGUUCGUUAAGUUCGAUGUGAAAGCCCCGGGCUCAACCUGGGAACUGCAUUGGAAACUGGCGAGCUUGAAUGCGGCAGAGGGGGGUGGAAUUCCGCGUGUAGAGGUGAAAUUCGUAGAUAUUCGGAAGAACACCAGUGGCGAAGGCGGCUCACUGGUCCGGUACUGACGCUGAGGUGCGAAAGCCAGGGGAGCAAACGGG